CAAAACAUAUAUUUUCAAUCUCUACUUUCUCUUAUUUUCUAAAUCUCAUGAAUAUAUCCUGUAUAGAGUUUCUUGCGGUUUGAGUUUUGUUGAGUAUUUUUUUCAACGCUUUCUUCGUCUUCUCGAUCCUUCCUAUAAAAAAGGUUUUUCGGUGGGCACGCUUCUUUAUGAGGAAGGGCAACGUUUUGCGUUCUUCUGUUCGGAUUCAUUUACGGCGACGUUGCUUUGCAGUAAAUUGUGUUGCUACUCCGAAUCCGGCAGUGGAACUGCCAUUAACUACUGAAAAUGUAGAAAGUGUAUUGGAUGAAUUUCGACCGGUGAAAAUGUGGCUUUGCAUGAAAUUGAUGGCAAUAUGGUGCGGUUGAAACUACAGGGAGCAUGUGGUUCCUGUCCAGGCUCUGUUACGACAAUGAAAAUGGGCAUUGAGCGUCGACUAAUGGAGAAGAUCCCUGAUAUAGUGGCAGUUGAACCAAUUGCUGGUGAAGAAACUGUUCUCGAGCUAAAUGAAGAAAACACAGAGAAGCUACCGGAAGAGUGACUACCAAAAUAGAUGUGUACGCAUUCGGCGUAAUAUUGAAGGAAGGGCGUCUGGUGCACCACCAACCGCGUCAGUUCAAUCAACAUCGUUUGGCAGUGGUUCACCGGAACACUAUCUCCGAAUCUCAACCUUCUCUUCCAACUCACCUCGCUCUCCUGCGCGUUGUUUUUCCUCUUUUUCUUCUAUUUUUCAUCCUCUCUUUCAUCGCCGCCUACCAUACCGAGUUCAUGUCCAAGCUGGCCAAAGACGUCUUGAGUUCCAAGCCGUCGGGAACAGCUUCUGUAAAUGAAAGGGCGUCAGGUGUAUCACCAACCGCGUCACUUCAAUCAACAUCGCUUCACACCUUUCCAUUUACAGAAAUUUGUUCCUGACCCUCGGACUGAAAGCUUUGAAAGCUUUAGCGAGCUUCGACAUAAACUCUGACAUGAUCGACAAUGGCGGUGGAAGAGAGAAUUAAAAAAAAAAAGGUGACAGAGAGAAUGUGUAGAAUAUGAAAAUGUGAUCUUAUACGAUUUUGUAGUAUCUGGGAAAUAUCAUGUUUAUAAAAUUUGUGGA